UACGUAGGGUGCAAGCGUUAAUCGGAAUUACUGGGCGUAAAGCGUGCGCAGGCGGUGAUGUAAGACAGAUGUGAAAUCCCCGGGCUCAACCUGGGAACUGCAUUUGUGACUGCAUCGCUGGAGUACGGUAGAGGGGAUGGAAUUCCGCGUGUAGCAGUGAAAUGCGUAGAUAUGCGGAGGAACACCGAUGGCGAAGGCAAUCCCCUGGGCCUGCACUGACGCUCAUGCACGAAAGCGUGGGGAGCAAACAGG
rnacentral:rRNA from 1 species